rnacentral:lncRNA from 1 species
GGAGAAAAAAAAAGAGGACGAGAAGACAUUACUCCUGAUGGGAAGCCCAAUGCGAGGUGGAGCUUCAAGAGUCAAGAAGAGUCCAAAACAAGAUGGAGCUUCAGGUGGAGAUAAAUCAGGCACAAGAUGUGACUCGGGAGGAUGAGAGGUGAUAUCACAAAGUGAGAUUCCUAUUAUCGCAGGAGGAUACCCCGAGCAG